rnacentral:lncRNA from 1 species
GUGGGGUCAGACUGGUGAUCUCUUCAUGCUCGUCAUAGAAAUUUUUCUCAAAUGGGGGAUAUUCAAUCUCUGAAUGGUCAAUAGGUGGAAGAGGAUCAAUGAUUUUUUUGGAUGGCGCAAUCGGAUUCCCAUCACUGUCAUACUCCAGGUUAUCCUCUUCCUCUUCUUGCACCACACCAGCAGUGGGGUUUUCAGCCAUGUAGCGAAAAUAAGCUUCUUGGUCAUCUUCCUCUUCAAUGUCAUCUCGAAUACCCUUAGCAUUCUUUUUUUCCUUGUCUUUAUCCUCCAGCCUCUUCAUGUCUCGAGC